rnacentral:snoRNA from 1 species
AAACCAUGCAUCAGGCAUUUUCUAAUUAAUUCCUUGAAUCGCUCCCAAGCUUCAUACAAUGCUUCACCUCUAAUUGUCAAAAAGAGGUAAUAUCAUUCCUUAAUUU